rnacentral:rRNA from 1 species
AUUGAACGCUGGCGGCAGGCCUAACACAUGCAAGUCGAAUGGUAACACAAAACGGCUUUCUUUUUCCCUGAGGCGUGUCGGACGCGUGUGUAGUGUCCGUCGAACUCUCUUUUUUCGUGGGGUAUCUCGUGGGAACGCUUACUCUUAUCCCAUAUCCUCCCUACAGCUGAGAGCAGGGGCUCUUCGCCUCUUGCCCUCAUGUAUGCCCCGAUGUCGGAUUAGCUAGUUGGCGGGGUAAAGGCCCACCAAGGCGACGAUCCGUAGCUGGUCUGAGAGGAUGAUCAGCCACACUGGAACUGAGACACGGUCCAGACUCCUACGGGAGGCAGCAGUGGGGAAUAUUGGACAAUGGGCGCAAGCCUGAUGCAGCCAUGCCGCGUGGGUGAAGAAGGCCUUCGGGUUGUAAAGUACUUUUGGCGGGAAAGAAAAGAAGAAAGUUAAUACCCCGCCUUAUUGACGGUACCCAAAGAAGAAGCACCGGCUAACUUCGUG